rnacentral:rRNA from 1 species
AUUGAACGCUGGCGGCAUGCCUUACACAUGCAAGUCGAACGGCAGCACGGGUGCUUGCACCUGGUGGCGAGUGGCGAACGGGUGAGUAAUACAUCGGAACGUACCUUACCGUGGGGGAUAACGCAGCGAAAGCUGUGCUAAUACCGCAUACGCCCUGAGGGGGAAAGCGGGGGAUCGCAAGACCUCGCGCGAUUAGAGCGGCCGAUGCCUGAUUAGCUUGUUGGUGGGGUAAAAGCCCACCAAGGCGACGAUCAGUAGCUGGUCUGAGAGGACUAGCAGCCACACUGGGACUGAGACACGGCCCAGACUCCUACGGGAGGCAGCAGUGAGGAAUUUUGGACAAUGGGGGCAACCCUGAUCCAGCAAUGCCGCGUGAGUGAAGAAGGCCUUCGGGUUGUAAAGCUCUUUUGUCAGGGAAGAAACACCGGCUCUAACACAGUCUGGGAAUGACGGUACCUGAAGAAUAAGCACCGGCUAACUACGUGCCAGCCGCCGCCGUAA